GAUGAACGCUGGCGGUAUGCCUAACACAUGCAAGUCGUACGAGAGUUUUUAACUCUAGUGGCGGACGGGUGAGUAACACGUGAGAAUUUGCCUUUAGGAGGGGGACAACAAUUGGAAACGAAUGCUAAUACCCCAUAUGCUUUCGAGUGAAAUGGAUUUUAUCCGCCUAGAGAGAAGCUCGCGGCUGAUUAGCUUGUUGGUAAGGUAAGAGCUUACCAAGGCGACGAUCAGUAUCUGGUUUGAGAGGGAGAUCCCCCACACUGGUACUGAGACACGGACCAGACUCCUACGGGAGGCAGCAGUGAGGAAUAUUGGUCAAUGGGCGCAAGCCUGAACCAGCCAUGCCGCGUGCAGGAAGACGGUCCUAUGGAUUGUAAACUGCUUUUAUACAGGAAGAAACCCUCCCACGUGUGGGAGCUUGACGGUACUGUAGGAAUAAGGAUCGGCUAACUCCGUG
rnacentral:rRNA from 1 species